rnacentral:lncRNA from 1 species
GAAAGUCCAGAAAAGGUCUCCCCUGCGCAGGUCACUAUUGAAUAAACCUUGGGUGAAUGCUUAACAGUUAGCUACAGGAGCUGAUUUUUCUACACCACUGUAACCCAUCAAUCACCAUACUUAUGAUUGGGGUAUGAUUAUGAACGCCUCUUCACACAAAUUACUAGUAAUACACCACUCUGCCAGUUCAUUUAACAUUUACAUGAGCUUUAAUACCGAUCAGAACAUUUACAAAAUAAACCAGUGUUCCUUGGAAGUGUAGUGGAAUAUUGACUCAGAAAUAUAACACUCUUACUGGAACUUGUGAAUUCAAAUGAGACUUUAAUACAAAGUAGCACAGCCGUGCUGAUCCACGGAACAACCAACUUUCUAAGCACGGAGCUCUGCCUUUAUAGCUUCGCAGCCUCCCAUUCAGCAAAAGGGUACAGCCCCAUAUGUAAAUGAAAUGACUCCCCUUGUCCUUUCGCCACCAUUAUCUUUCAGUCUGAGUUCUUGCUUGUUCACGCCCAGUAACGCCCACAUCUGCUUCGGGGUAUAUUAAAAUGGUGGCGGGACCCCUUAUGUAAUACAAAAAAUAAUACAUUUGAUUGUAUAUGCAUGUUUCACCUUUUGGUUAUUCUGCCAUCAUCCCGUCCCCAUGUUCCCUGACAUCAGUAUGUCAGAUGCAUGUGCAUUAGCCAAUGUAACCAUAUACAUACAUUGGCUAAUGGGAUCUUUAACCUGAGCUUUCCCCAGAACCAGCUAAUGCACUUGGUAACAUCCUUUUUAUCUUAGUCAAUCGAUUUUUUUCUCCCACAGAAGUUGGAGGAUCUAGAGAGAAACCACAGAGCAGAACAGUGCAAGCGGCAAAAACUUGCCUUUCCUCUUGCUCUCCUUCUAGAUCACCUUCCCAACCUUUAGCUUGUUCCCACUCCCUUUACCAACCCUACUCUGGGUGGUGUGUGUGUGUGUGUGUGUGUGUGUGUGUGUGUGUGUGUGUGUGUGUGUGUGUGUGUGUGUGUGUGUGUGUGUGUGUUCACACGUUUUUGCGUAUCCAGCGUAUCAGUCCAGACAAGGCUGUCAAAUAUACAGCCUGUGGCCCAGAUCCGUCCCGUGAGGUUUGAAUAAUGUAAAAAUACAAAUAUUUGGAGAAAACCUCAUUUGACAUUUAAUAUGACUGAAGCCAAAUCCAAACUGUGUAGAAAUGAUAAUGAACCUACAUUUACAGUCUCUUCACUCUUUCCAGUUUGCUAACAGUCAUCAAAACAAAAUCUAGACCGUCAGGGAGCAGAGAAAACUCCAAAAGUUAUUUAAAAACAAUUUCUUUGCUAAUUUUGAUGAAGAGGAAAUAUAAUACAUUUGAAGUGCGAUCCUCUGGACCUCAGUAGGGAUCGAAUGCAGCCCACGUGUCACGUCCUGACCAGUAAAGGGGCUGUUUGUUAUUGUAGUUUGGUCAGGGCGUGGCAGGGGGUGUUUGUUUAGGGUGUUUCGGGGUUGUUUGGGUUAUGUGCUAUGUUAGUGUAUUUCUAUGUUAUUUCUAGUUGGUCUAUUUCUAUGUGGUGUUUAUUGGGUUGACCUUCAAUUGGAGGCAGCUGCUUCUCGUUGCCUUUGAUUAAAGGUCCUAUUUAUAGGGGUGUUUGUUCUAUGGGGGUUUGUGGGUAGUUAUUUCCUGGU